rnacentral:rRNA from 1 species
CCUACGGGUGGCAGCAGUAGGGAAUAUUGCACAAUGGGGGAAACCCUGAAGCAGCAACGCCGCGUGGAGGAUGAAGGUUUUCGGAUUGUAAACUCCUUUUGUCAGAGAAGAUAAUUACGGUAUCUAACGAAUAAGCCCCGGCUAACUCCGUGCCAGCAGCCGCGGUCAUACGGAGGGUGCAAGCGUUACCCGGAAUCACUGGGUGGAAAGGGCGCGUAGGCGGGAUAGCAAGUCAGAUGUGAAAUCCUAUGGCUUAACCAUAGAACUGCAUUUGAAACUGUUAUUCUAGAGUGUGGGAGAGGUAAGUGGAAUUCUUGGUGUAGGGGUGAAAUCCGUAGAGAUCAGGAGGAAUACUCAUGGCGAAGGCGGCCUACUGGAACGUAACUGACGCUGAUGCGCGAAAGCGUGGGGAGCAAACAGGAUUAGAUACCCUGGUAGUC